rnacentral:rRNA from 1 species
ACKGCUCAGUAACACGUGGAUAAUCUACCCUGCGGAGGGGGAUAACCCCGGGAAACUGGGGAUAAUACCCCAUAGACUAUGGAUGCUGGAAUGCUCUGUAGCCGAAAGGUCCGCCGCCGCAGGAUGAGUCUGCGGCCGAUUAGGUUGUUGUUGGGGUAACGGCCCAACAAGCCUGUAAUCGGUACGGGUUGUGGGAGCAAGAGCCCGGAGAUGGAUUCUGAGACACGAAUCCAGGCCCUACGGGGCGCAGCAGGCGCGGAAACUUUACAAUGCGAGAAAUCGUGAUAAGGGAACCCCGAGUGCCCGUAAAUCCGGGCUGUCCGCCAGUGUAAAUAACUGGUGAAGAAAGGGCCGGGCAAGACCGGUGCCAGCCGCCGCGGUAAUACCGGCGGCUCGAGUGGUGGCCGCUAUUACUGGGCUUAAAGCGUUCGUAGCUGGGCUGUUAAGUCCCCUGGGAAAUCCACCGGCUCAACCGAUGGGCGUUCAGGGGAUACUGGCAGCCUAGGGACCGGGAGAGGUGAGGGGUACUCCAGGGGUAGGAGUGAAAUCCUGUAAUCCUUGGGGGACCACCUGUGGCGAAGGCGUCUCACUAGAACGGCUCCGACAGUGAGGAACGAAAGCUGGGGGAGCAAACCGGGUUAGAUACCCGGGUAGUCCCAGCUGUAAACGAUGCGCGUUAGGUGUAUCGGUGACCACGAGUCACCGAGGUGCCGAAGAGAAAUCGUGAAACGUGCCGCCUGGGAAGUACGGUCGCAAGGCUGAAACUUAAAGGAAUUGGCGGGGGAGCAC